CUUAAGUAUUAUUGUUUGUUAAAUGUGCCUCGUCUGUUACAGUUUUGCUUUUUGCUUUCUCAUAUUAAUAUAUUAAAAAAAAUACUCCUUUACAUGGAAUAAUUUAAACUUUUAAAUUUACAUGUGGAGAGGUCAAGAUUAUUUUUACUAGGGUAGAAUGCAAGUAUUGGUAGACACCGCCAAGAAGAAGAGAUGCUUGAUUUAUUUGUUUGUUUGUUUAUAUGUUGUUUUUGUGUUUGAACCAAACAAUACAAGGUUAAAGUUCAAGAUCAAAUGAAAGCAUUAAUACCUUAGUUUCUGUAACCUUUUUUUUCUCUCAGCAAGGUAAUACAAUGUAGUGCAAUACAUACUUUGUAUUGUUGAAUUUAUUCAUUUUAUUUAUAUAUAUAUGUAUAUGUAUAUUUAUAAACGAUGGAGUGAGCAGGUACUAUAGAGUGCUCAAUGAUGUCCCCCCUCCCCUCGUCCUUGUUACUUUGUGACUUGAAAUGCAAUUUUUUCAAAUUAUAGUUAUUCCGUUUGUUUUCUUUCUAAACUGUACAUCCAAAAUUUAUGCAUUAGUAAAAUUCACUAAAUUGAAGUUCUAUGCUAACUUUUUUUCAGAAUUCCAGCAAAAAAAGUAAGAGAUAUUACUAGUUAGAAC
rnacentral:lncRNA from 1 species